rnacentral:lncRNA from 1 species
AGCACAAAACGACCCGAGAUAACAGGGCAAUUAUGGCCUCAAACUCCCCAGGCAUUAGCUCUCUAUGGUCCUAGGCACAUAGGAUCCCAGCUCCACAGAAUCCGGUCUGCUGUUAUCUCUACAUUAAUGAGGUUACAUAGCCCUUAGGAGGCACAGGCAGCUGAAAAAGUACUUCCAUGUCUGCUGUAUGUAUGACGGGAGGACCUUUGAAUAAAUAAGAGCCAACUGUCCCCAGCAUGCAUCCUUAGGUAGUAGAUGAUCAUGUAUCAGGUUUUAAGCCAGGCCAGGCUUACUGCCCAGACAGCCUUAGGAGCCUUCGUGGCUCUGCUUCUCCAGCGCUGGGAUUACAGACCCACACCAUCUCAGCUGGCUAAACAAACAAACAAACAAACAAACAAAUAAACAUAGAUUCUGGGAACUAAACUCAGGUCUGUAUGUUUAUGAGGCAAAAACUUUCCCAGUGGAGUGACAUUCUAAGCCCUGGUAGGUGCUCACCAGGACCUCUAUGUACUGUAAUGUAUACAUUCUAUGACAUUACAUCCAUCCUUUCCCACACACUGCUCCUUCUGCAGUGUGACUUGUUUAUCACCCUGUCCACCUGCUGGCAUCUCCUGGGGUUAUUUAUGUGCAAGGACAAUUUGUUUCUCAUGGUUCUGGAGCUUGGGAAGUCCAGAUAAAGAUUCGGCAGAUUUGAUGUCCUUGGGUUGUAGAGAUGGCUGCCAUCUUCUCACCUGGUUCCCUCUUGAGUCUCUCUUGCAAGGGUGUCAUGUUUGGGGAAUGACUAGUCACCUGUGUUAGUCUGUCACUAUUAUCACCACCUGUGGGAAUCAACUUAGAGGUGGGGGAAUGUUGACCCUGCCCUGAGGUUUAGGGGCUCCAGACUGUGGUAUGCACUGUUGCAAACACACCAUGGCUGGAGUAUACAGUGGGGUGAAACUGCUCACCUCAUGGCCAAAGGACAGAAAAUAAAAGGGGUGCUAUCUGCAGCUAAAUGCCCCCUUGUAAGAGCCCCCCACCCCAAGGACCUAAAACCGUCUUUUAGACCCCACCUCUUUAGAGUUCCACCAGCAGCAGCACCCUGGAAACCUUUAGGGGUUGUUAGGCCCAGACAUUCAGAGUCAUCUCCCAAAUGCCCCAUCUGCUAACUCAGUCACCUGGGACUGGGAUUUGUAGGAGUCAAACCUGUGCUCUCUGUGGACAAUGUCUUGCCCACAUCUGGCAUCCUGUUCCCAGCAACCUCAGCCCUGUGCUGCCUCCACAGGCUGGGGAUGAGCAACAAUUGCAGGAUGAAUUACACCCACCAGCUUCCAGGAAGCCAGCAAGGCGACUCAGAGAUACAUAAAAUGUAGCCAGCUGGGAUAAAGUAUUUUCUGACUAAAUGAAUUCUACUUCUUUAAGAUCUGAUGAUGUAAAGGUUGGUACACCAAUGAUCUUUUCCUCAUAAUAUAUAUAUACAGAAAGAAACAGCCCUGAGAAUUUAUUCUCUGGGCAAGAAAUCCCACAAUCUGACACCUUGUAUUUAGUUACAUGGAGACUCAUCAUUUUCUCCAGUUUCCUAUGUGUAUUUCAUUUCACACCCUGAGAUAUUUGGACUUGGAGGGGGCAUCUCCAGUAGUGUUUUUAUUCACCAAGAGGCACCCAGUACUAAAGCAAGCCCACACACGAUACGCAAUAUAGCCAUUGCUCUGCUCCAGUCCCAACCCUCAAGAUGAAAGUAGCUAGUAAAGACUAGGGAGUACCCAGAGGUCCCCAUGUCUUUUUCUCAUGAUGGGGGCCAGUUGCUCUAUCCUCCCUUUUGUAAGUGUUAUAGUGUUUAAUGGUAUAUACUCAUUUUCUAUACCAGGUAGGGAUCAGAUUUCAAGCUACCUCUGCUCAGUGCGAAUGGAGGAGGAAUUUACUGGGAAAGUAAGAGGCAGCUCACAGAACCUGUGGGAAGCACUGGGAGCCAAGCACACAAGAUUCAGGCAGUUGGGCAGCAGAGUGACCCUUUGGGAACAAUCCCAGGUACUGCUGCAAUGUCCUACCAGCAGGUCCUGGUCACAGCUUUUAAUCCCUUCUCAGCUGUGGCCAUGACUACUCUCGGAAGAGUUGAGGCCUGAAGUUUCCAUCCAUGCCGUGAGAAGCCACGUUAAUGAUUUUCUGGAUGCUUUCCUGCUAUAUUCUGCACUGCCCACAGGGACUUACACCUGAGCGCAGUGGUGAGGAAAUGAAGAAAAGCCAACACAGGCAGAUACACAGAAAAGCUGGGCUCUCUGAUGGGGAAGCAUCAUCAUUCUGGAAGCUUAGUGUGUUUGCUACGCAGAGUUGAACAGGAGCAGUGUUAUUGCAUACAGCUAAACAAAGAGGUGGGGCUAUUGCAUAUAGCUGAACAAUGAGGUGGGACUGUUACAUACAGAUAAAUAGGAGGCAGGGUAUAUAGUAUGUAGCUUGAUCACAGAGACAAAUGCAGUAAUCGCUGUAGGAGGAGUCUCUGUAGGAAAAGAGUUUUCAGGCCAAAUAUACAGGAGGAGAAAGCACACACUGUUGAUACUCACACAUUGCCAUCUGUUGUGUAUAGAAAGUACCCAUGAAGCCUGGUCCCUGUUUGUGCACUAGCAAUCCUGAGAGAAACUUCAGAGGGAGCCAGCUACUAGAUGGUUUGAUUUGUCUUUCACUCCUAUAGCCAGGGGUGGAUGGCCAAUUUGCAUAUCAGAACCAACAGAGACCUCCACCAGAGUUUCCUCUAGCUUUGCCCUGCCCAGGCAGAGUUCACCAUCUUUCAGGUCCCAAAGGUCGUGCUCAUGCCCCACGUUGGGUGCCACCUAUAAAAUGGGGGAGGGGCAGGGGUGUGUGGAGGUUUCUUAUUUUUUCAAUGUUUCUUUUAAUGUCUCCUUUUCUUACAGACAUUAACCGGUUAUCUUACCUCUCUACCAGCUCUCCUCCCAGUUUCCAGCUCAGACCCUUCAAAGGUUUCUCCCACCUGUUCUUCCUCAGUUCCCCAACAAUGUGCUUGAACGGUCUAUUUUCCCAGUUUCCCCACCAGCAGCUACAAACUGUAAGGACUGUUCUAGCCUAUCUGCUCAGCUCAGCAUUUCCUGCCUCAACUGCCACCAGCCUCUCUUCUCAGUCUGCUAGCCCAGUCCACUUUCAUCUGUCUUCUAACAGUGUUUUCUGGCUCAACUGUCUUGUCUUCUUCUGUUGGCCCAGUGCUCUUUCUCUGCCUCAGCUGUGCCUCAGCUGGCCUUUUUAUAUCCUCCCCUGUUUCCAGAAACCCAAAAGGCAACCAACACUGGCAACCAUAAGAUCAAGCAGUUCUAACAGUUAAAAAUUCUUAAAGGGCCAGAUGACAAGCAUCUGGGAUUCUUUAAAUGUCCAGCCACACAAAAUAAGUUCCACUACAGCUAGCUCUCUGAACCUGAGGUUAUGGGGCUUGGGGCAUGACUGCGCCCACAUCAACAACAUACAUGCACUCAGGAUUUCACUCUCUCAGGAGCUACAUUUCUCAGGUCUAUUUUAAAUGUCCUCCUCACUCCAGAAUCCUUGAAUACUGCCUCUUUGAUAGACCCUACCCAGUCCCCUACCUCUUCCUCAUGAGUACCUCAAUUCUGAUAUAUUGAUCCAGCUGAGACUAUGAAUCCUGCUUCAGCCAGAUAGCCAUCCAGUGCUCUGUGCCUCCUGAAGCUGCUUGUUGGCAAUCCACACUCCAGCAGCCUAGUACCUGAGCUAGAGCAUGAACUGUGGAGGGCCUUCGUUUUGUGCAAUUGUCCAAAGCCACUGGUUGGAUCAUCAUUGGCACGCAAUCUGAUGAGUAUGUUAGAUACAUGUAUGGAUGAAUGACUUCAACAGUGCUUGGUGCAAGACUGUAUUUAGGAUUAUAUACCUAAACACUCGAGCUAAAGAGAUGGCUCAGUGAGUUGAGGCACGAGCGUUGCCAAGUUGGACAAUCUGAGUUCAAUUUCUGGGACCCACAUGAUUGAAGAAGAGAUCUAAGUUCCACAAAUUGCCCUUUGACCUUCAUAUGUGUCCUGUGACAUGGGCACAACCCCACUUCUCCUCAACACAAAAUAAAUACA